rnacentral:lncRNA from 1 species
UUUAAUAUAUGCUCAAAGCACGCACAACACUAUAAGAAAGUGAAGAUAACGGAUGAGUUUACAAUAUAGUUAGACCUCCCACUGAUCACGUGCAACCUACAACAACCAAUCAAAGUCCUGUCACAUCUUUGCUACAUUAUUUAUUAUCCAUGAAAUUAACAAACAUCCAAUAGAAUCCUCUCUUUUCUCUUCGUUGAAGGUCAACUUCAAUCGUUUUUGACAAGAGGCCUAAAAUGAUUUGCUGGAAGUGAUUAUCACCUUUGGGGAAUCAAUCCACUUGAACCAUCUGAGGCGUUUCUGUUAGGUCUCGAAAUGGGAUGAUGCUGGAAAGAAUUUGAAGAAAUUGCAAUUUCCUUGCUACAAUAUUAAGAGGAAAGAACAUUGUCAGUACACUCAGUAUUUCCAC